rnacentral:misc_RNA from 1 species
CUCUCUCUCUCUCUCUCUCUUCUCAACCCACAAAGCUAAAGUCUCUCUCUAUCUCUCCCUCCAUGGCCUGUAAAUUUCAUAUCUUUCUUCUCCUCUGCUUUCUCAUUAUCUUCAUCAAUUCAACAUUUUCUCUAGAAUCAGGAAUAGACUGCACCGGUCGCUGGAUCCACAUCAGACGCCUGCCUUCACGCUUCAAUCUUGAUCUUCUCACUAACUGCUCUGCAUACCCUCUUUUUGACAAUUUCUGCCCUUAUCUCACCAACCAUGGCCUUGGCCCCAAGACCCACAACCGCUCUCAGUCUUGGUACCGCUCCGAUCCUCUCUUGCUCGAGGUCACCUUCCAUCGCCGGAUGCUCGAGUACCCAUGCCUAACCGCUGAUCCCAAUCUAGCCAACGCCGUCUACUUGCCUUACUAUGCAGCAAUCGAUGCAUUGAGGUAUCUUUAUGGUCCUAAUGUCAACACUAGCAUGGAACACGGGCUUGAAUUGUUCGACUUUCUUCAAGAAAAUGAUGCUAGGAUAUGGGGAAGACGUAACGGGAUUGAUCAUUUUCUGGUUAUGGCUCGUCCAGCCUGGGAUUUCUCGCAGUCCUUGUAUGUUGACCCUCCUGUGUGGGGCACUUCGUUUCUCGAAUUGCCAGAGUUUUAUAAUGUCACCGCUUUGGUUGUUGAGGGCAGGGCUUGGCCUUGGCAGGAACAGGCUGUGCCUUACUUGACUUCAUUUCACCCUCCAACUUUGGCCCUGUUCGACUCUUGGAUCAAACGCGUUAAGGGUUCCAGAAGAACCACGUUGAUGCUUUUUGCAGGCGGAGGAGGGGUCGGCGCCACCUUAAAUAUCAGGAGGAGCAUCAGGAACGAGUGUGAAAAUGGCAGCGAUAGUGCCAGUUUUUUAGUCAGUCGAGGAUAUAGCUCUCUCUACUACACCAAGGUGUGUGAUUUAGUGGAUUGCUCUAAUGGGAUUUGUGAGCACGACCCAAUCAGGUAUAUGAGACCAAUGUUACAAGCCACCUUUUGUCUGCAGCCUCCAGGGGAUACCCCAACUCGGAGGUCUACUUUUGAUGCCAUCGUUGCAGGGUGUAUACCGGUUUUCUUCGAGGAACAGUCUGCAAAAACGCAAUACAGGUGGCACUUGCCGGAGGAAAUGUAUGGGGAUUUUGCAGUGUUUAUACCCAAAGAGGAAGUGGUGUAUAAAGGGUUGAAGAUUUUGGACGUGCUUAUGGGAAUUCCUAGAGCUCAAGUGAGGAGGAUGAGGGAGAAAGUUAUAGACUUGAUGCCAAGAGUUGUGUAUAGGAAGCAUGGAAGUUCCUUUGGUUUAAGAGCCAAGAAGGAUGCAUUUGAUAUUGCAAUUGAAGGUGCUUUGGAGAGGAUCAACUCUAGGCUUAAAGGAAGAGAUUUUGAUCAAUGACUAGUUCUCAUUCUUUAUUGUCUGUUGUAAUUAUUGUAAUUCGCUGUUCUUCAUCUUCUUUCUUGCUGAUAAAUUGCAGAGAAAAAUAGAUUAUUAUUAUUAUUAUUAUUA